CAGAAGUGAGAGGGGAAGCAAAAGUCCAGAAACAGUUAUAUCGAGGGUACAGUGCAAGUAUAGAGUGGGAGAAUUCGGAGUGGGAUACAGAGUGAUAGAAAUGGGUGGGAACGAGAGUAAAGGUAGGAGAAGGAAGUGGAGAUGAGGAGUGUAGAGAAGAGAUGAGGAGAAGAGGAAGGAAGGAGAAAGUGGGGACUGGUCAUAGGGGUAACGGUAGGAUUCCGGGGGUUGAAAGCAGCUGAGAGCAGUGUACGAGUAGGUCAUACCAGAGAAGAGAGACGGAACAAUUUUUCUUCACAGUAUAAAUUGUCGCGGAAUUGAUUUUCUCUUCAAUCUUUUUUGUAAAAAAGGAAAAAAGGAAUUAAUGGUGGAAGAGAAAAACGAAAGAAUAUGAAAACAUAAGAAGAAUAUAACGAAAAAUAUAAAAAUAAAAGUGCCUCUAAACAGAAGUGGAUUUCAAACG